rnacentral:lncRNA from 1 species
GAGUGUGGCCGAAUUCGGCCGGAAACGGCCGAAAACAGCCAACCCGAGGUGAAUCGCCGCCGCCAGCGGCGGCGCCGUCGCCGGAGCACGGCGGAGCCGCCGUGUCGGAGUUGCGAUUUGGGCCGAAAGGGGCCAUGGGCCUAAUUUGGGAUUUUUUUGGAACACGUGCAGGUACCAGUAGUGCGUUUCAGUUCCCCGAGGAAAAUUCAGGGAAAAUUAGGGACAGCCUGCAAGCGCACUGUGAAGCCGUGUUCGGACCCCGAAACGAGUAAGGACCCCUCACCUUAUUUCCUAUCACGGUUUUAAAGUUCAAUAAAUGAUAAAACGAUAUUUCAUGAAUCAACGAAUGUGUGAAAUUGCUUAGGGUCGCUAAUGGAGCCCGAGUCUAGUGUGUUUGUCGGUUAAUUGUUAUUUGGCAUGUUUUACAGUUUUAAACGUAGCAUGAGGUUCGAUGUUUUCAUUUUAUAGUUUCGUGUGCAUGUUUUACUGUUUUAUUGAUUAUGGAUUAAAUGACCGGAAUAUUGAUGCUGUAUGUUGUCUGCUUAGCAUAAAUUAUUGUUUUGCUUGCUUGUAUGUGGAUUAAUGAUGCUGAUUGAGGAAAAAGAGAACGAACAAUUAUGUAAAUGGAUAAUGGUAUAAUGUGAUCAGCCUGACUAGAUAUCCUGGGAGAUGGUGGACGGACCGGGUCCGUAGGGGACCCUACCGAGAUUGUGGUCUCCCAUACCGGACGGGGUAUAGAGAUCUUAUGUGUUUUGGCGCCCAUACCGGACGGGGUAUGGGGACGACCCGUUUCACCCUCAUAUCGGACGGGGUAAUGAGGUCUAUGGUUUGGUGCCCAUACCGGACGGGGUAUAGGGACGGCCCUGGAAUUUGAUUUCAAGUAUUACGGAUUUACGGGUAGCGGGACCCCUAUGGAUCCCCAUGGAUACUAGUGGGCUGGUGAAUUAAGAAAAUAUGUUGUGUAACGAUUGAAUUACGAAAAGUGUGAUAGGUAUUAUGUUAUACAGUUCAUAUAUAUGUUUCCAUGAUGAUAAUGAUGUUAUUGCUUUCGUAUAUUGUUUUAUAAAUUCCACCGAGGUAAGUGGAUGGUAAAGGUUUUAUUAUUAAUAAAAGGAUUUGUCGUAAAUCAUGCUCCAUUGGUAUUUUGUGUUUUUCUACCCACCUUUACCUCCGUGACGGUGAGAUAUCGUGAUGUCUUUACUGGGAUAGUGUAGCUCAUUCCUUAUUUAAUCAUUUUAGAUCAAGAGGACAUCGUUCCCGAGCCGGUCCCGCAGGAGGACGACGAAUGGGACACCUAAGGACUCCAUAGUCACAUUCGUAGUUUUUACUUUCAAGUUUCCCCUUUAGGUAGUUUAAUCUUUUAUAUUUUGUGAGCACGUUUUUGAUUUUCGUGUAAGGGAUGUUAUUUAAAUUUUGACUUCGCUUCCGCAUUUGUUAUUUAUAAUAUAAAUUCAAUUUUAAAUUUCCGGGGCUGCUA